rnacentral:rRNA from 1 species
AUUGAACGCUGGCGGCAGGCCUAACACAUGCAAGUCGAACGAGUGGCGGAAGGGUGAGUAAUGUCUGGGAAACUGCCUGAUGGAGGGGGAUAACUACUGGAAACGGUAGCUAAUACCGCAUACCAUCAGAUGUGCCCAGAUGGGAUUAGCUUGUUGGUGGCGGAACGGCUCACCAAGGCGACGAUCCCUAGCUUGUCUAAGAGGAUGACAAUCAACACGGGAACUGAUACACGGUCCAGACUCCUAAGGGAGGCAGCAGUGGGGAAGAUUGCACAAUGGGCGAAAGCCUGAUGCAGCCAGGCCGCGUGUAUGAAUAAGGCCUUCGGGUUGUAAAGUACUUUCAGCGGGGAGGCGUUACCCGCAGAAUAAGCACCGGCUAACUCCGUGCCAGCAGACGCGGUAAUUC